rfam:Ruminococcus albus 7, complete genome.
UGAGCAUACUAUACGUCAGCGGAAGCGGCAACGCUUAUGAGGAAAGUCCGGGCAUCACAGAGCAGGAUAGCUGAUAACGUCAGCCGAGGGCGACCUCCGAGCCAGUGCAACAGAGAUAUACCGCCGCAGUAAUGCGGUAAGGGUGGAAAGGCGGGGUAAGAGCCCACCGGAGUGACAGAGAUGUCACUGCCAUGUAAACCUUAUCCGAUGCAACACCAAUGGCGGCAGAAGGGUCAAUGGCUGCUCGUCAGACCCAAAGCCGUAGGUGGCUUGAGCUGUGCGGCAACGUACAGCCUAGAUAGAUUGACGUACACGACAAAACCCGGCUUACAGGUAAGCUCAUGCC